GAUGAACGCUGGCGGCGUGCCUAAUACAUGCAAGUCGAGCGAAGCGGGGACGGGUGAGUAACACGUGGAUAACCUCCUAUAAGACUGGGAUAACUUCGGGAAACCGGGACUAAACCGGCAACUGAUACCUGGAUCCGCGCUGUAGUAGCUAGUGGGUAGGGUAACGGCUUACCAAGGCCACGAUUCAUAGGCGACCUGAGAGGGUGACCGGCCACACUGGAACUGAGACACGGUCCAGACUCCUACGGGAGGCAGCAGUAGGGAAUCUUCCGCAAUGGGCGAAAGCCUGACGGAGCAACGCCGCGUGAGUGAAGAAGGUCUUCGGAUCGUAAAACUCUGUUAUUAGGGAAGCGGUACCUAAUCAGAAAGCCACGGCUAACUACGUGCCAGCAGCCGCGGUAAUAC
rnacentral:rRNA from 1 species